UACGUAGGGACCAAGCGUUGUUCGGAUUUACUGGGCGUAAAGGGCGCGUAGGCGGCUUAACAAGUCACUUGUGAAAUCUCCGGGCUUAACUCGGAACGGCCAAGUGAAACUGUCAAGCUAGAGUGCAGAAGGGGCAAUCGGAAUUCUUGGUGUAGCGGUGAAAUGCGUAGAUAUCAAGAGGAACACCUGAGGUGAAGACGGGUUGCUGGGCUGACACUGACGUUGAGGCGCGAAAGCCAGGGGAGCAAACGGG
rnacentral:rRNA from 1 species